rnacentral:rRNA from 1 species
AAUAUCGGUCAAUGGAGGCAACUCUGAACCAGCCACGCCGCUUGAUGGACUACUGCCCUAUGGGUUGUAAACUUCUUUUAUACAGGAAUAAAGUGAGUCACGUGUGACUUUUUGCUUUUACUUCAUGAAUAAGGAUCGUCUAACUCCGUGCCAGCAGCCGCGGUAAUACGGAGGAUCCAAGCGUUAUCCGGAUUUAUUGGGUUUACAGGGUGCGCAGGCGGAAGAUUAAGUCGGCGGUGAAAUUUUGCAGCUCAACUGUAAAAGUGCCAUCGAUACUGGUUUUCUUGAGUGUGGAUGAAGUAGGCGGAAUUUGUGGUGUAGCGGUGAAAUGCAUAGAUAUCACGAGGAACUCCGAUUGCGCAGGCAGCUUACUAGGCCAUAACUGACGCUCAGGCACGAAGGCGUGGGGAUCAAAC